GAUGAACGCUGGCGGCGUGCCUAAUACAUGCAAGUCGAGCGAACAGACGAGGAGCUUGCUCCUCUGACGUUAGCGGCGGACGGGUGAGUAACACGUGGAUAACCUACCUAUAAGACUGGGAUAACUUCGGGAAACCGGAGCUAAUACCGGAUAACAUGUUGAACCGCAUGGUUCAAUAGUGAAAGACGGUCUUGCUGUCACUUAUAGAUGGAUCCGCGCCGCAUUAGCUAGUUGGUAAGGUAACGGCUUACCAAGGCAACGAUGCGUAGCCGACCUGAGAGGGUGAUCGGCCACACUGGAACUGAGACACGGUCCAGACUCCUACGGGAGGCAGCAGUAGGGAAUCUUCCGCAAUGGGCGAAAGCUUGACGGAGCAACGCCGCGUGAGUGAUGAAGGUCUUCGGAUCGUAAAACUCUGUUAUUAGGGAAGAACAAAUGUGUAAGUAACUAUGCACGUCUUGACGGUACCUAAUCAGAAAGCCACGGCUAACUACGUG
rnacentral:rRNA from 1 species